GAGUGUGUUUUGAGUCAUGCUGUCAGCAUAACCUCUUAAUUUUUAUCACAGAUUUCACAGCAUUUGGUGUUUCUCCUUGCAGGCUCCACUAGUUCAUUGGCUGGAUUCAGGAGUUUUCAUUUCCUUCAUUCCCUUUUUCAUUCCCCUGUUGGCUGGGGAYCUCUGGAGACUGGUGGACUGCCGACUUCUCCUGGCUUGGGGGCUGCUCACUCUGCAACUUUUCCUUCCUUCGUGUUUCUGGAACGCUGCUCUUACAAGAGGGGUCAAGUAUCCGCAAGUGUGACCUCUACAUCCUGCUGCCAAGCCUGUCUCUUCGUGUUUUUAUGCAGGCCCUUCCCUCCCAGAGAAGAAAUGGAAACMGUCUGCAAAGUGCUAAUCCUGAGUAUUUUCCGUCUCUGUGGGAAUCARGAAGGAAGGCAUUGCUACAUGUUGAGUUUGUCAGAGAUGCAAAGGGGACUAUCCCAGCUCAUCAGGGCAAGCACUGGGCUAGGUCUCCGGUUGUGCUUUUGUGGAGAGGAGCAUCAAGGCAACAAAGCUCUCAGGGUGCCCUGGUAUGGUUAUACUUGCUCAUCUGCAAUCGCUGCCACGCCAAAGCUCAAGCCCAGCCUCAGAUUACCAAUGCGCAGGUACAACAUGAUACAGCACAUCCCCCUCCGGUUGGAGCCGCUUCUGCUUUUGUUCAUCCUUGGAUYUAAGGCGUACAGAGAACGGCCCAGAUGUACACACGCAGCGCCCAUGCUCAAGAGUUCCCGGCCGAACCAAUGCUGUGCAUUAAGAGCUGUGCAAACAGCUUCCUGGCUUUUACAGCAAGAGUGAAAGAUGCAUUUAGGAAGUCUGUUGGGAAGCAAAAUGCCUGUUCCUGUUUAGCAGCAGUGUGAAGCCUGGUUACUGCUCCUGGGACAUCUCUCCUUGGCCGGGACGUGGAUGCCACAGCCGGCGUGUGCUCCUGCAGCGGCCCAGGCAGCUGACAGCCACCAAAACGGUGCAAAAAUCGGCAAAAAAUCAGUGCAAAAAUUACUACUGGCCAAACAACAKGACGUUUGCACUGACGAUGGGCAGGGAGCCUCGGAGGAAGGGACAAGGGCUUGGCAGAAAGUCUGGAUCAGCAGCUGUACUGCUGUGUCCACGCUGAUCAGCCUGGCAGUGUGCUCAAAACGACGUCCUACGCUUGUACCGCUGGAAACGUUUUAAUUAAAUGGUACAACCUGCGUUGCUAAGUGAAUUCAGAAUGCACGUAAAUWAUUUCCCCAAACCUUGCAUGCGCUGGGCAGCAAUGAAAUAUGUGGAACUUGCGAUCUUUGCUUGCUUUUUUGGAUUAAAAUGUUUCCAGUUGCUGAAGUGAGACUUUUCUUUUUUUUUUUUUUUGCUGUUUACACCAGUGACUGCUGGUGAGCCAGAGCGGUGGCCUCUGCGCUGGGA
rnacentral:lncRNA from 1 species